GGGCCUGUAGUUUAAUGGUAAAACGUCGCAUUCGCAUUGCGAAAAGUGUGGGUUCGAUUCCCACCGGGUCCA
rnacentral:tRNA from 2 species